rnacentral:rRNA from 1 species
AACGUAGGACGCAAGCGUUAUCCGGAAUUACUGGGCGUAAAGCGCGUGUAGGUGGUUUUAUAAGUCACUGUUGAAAGCUCCUGGCUAAACUGGGAGAGGUGCGGUGAGACUGUAGAGCUAGAGUUUGGGAGAGGGGUGCGGAAUUCCGGGUGUAGUGGUGAAAUGCGCAGAUAUCAGGAGGAACACCGGUGGCGAAGGCGGGUCUCUGGGCCGAUACUGACGCUGAGGAGCGAAAGCGUGGGGAGCAAACAGG